GAAAUCCUUUCCCAAUCACGUAAACUACUGUCUACCAACUGUGCCAACAAGAUGAGAACAUGCUAGAUAUCUGCAUCUCCAUUUACAUAUGAUAUAAUAGACAACAAUUCACUUACCACAUUAGCUAUCUUCAGCUGCAGUAAGCAACUAGGCAUUCCGUUGCUAUGAGGUGAAAAAAUCAUUGCUCGACUUGAAUGCCAGAUUUGCAUAGAAGUUGAGUUUUCGGCAUUUUCCAGCCGAUGCAAUUUGUUUCAUGGUUACCAUUGUAGUACUGAAUGCCUUGCAGAAGCUUCCAUUG
rnacentral:misc_RNA from 1 species